rnacentral:misc_RNA from 1 species
GUUUUAGUUGCCAUUGGAUCACUGGUAGCUUCCCAAUCCUAUCUAUUAAAUGAAUAGUAGUGUUUUUGCUUCUUGUAUUAGUGUUUGGUAAUCUCUUACUAUAAUGGGCAGCUUUUCUUUGCCUUUGUCAAAUAUAUAACAAUUUGAUUAGGAAAUGACUUUUUCUUAAUAAAUCCUUUGCCAUUUUUCUCAUAUUUGAUGGUAAACUUUUUAUUUUCACUGUGUGAUAAAUAAAGUAUGAACUUCUCUGGCUCUUUGAAUAAUAAGUUCCUUUUUGUUAAAAAAAAAAAAAGCUUUUCUUGCUCUUGCUUUUGAUGUAUGUCAUGUUCACAGUUUGGAAUCUUAAUGGAACCCACAUCACUUGGUGUAUUCAAUAUGAAAUGUCUGCGCCAGCAUCUACAUUUGUCAGAUUAGAGUUGAUGCGUCAAGGAUCAUCUUCUUUUGGUUUUAGGGUAAAAGAAUAUGUUAUGUGAAGAUUUUAAGAAUGAGUUGGUGAAAGCCUAUUAUCAACUGAAUUUAUGAGUAAAGAACAGCAUACUUAUUAACGUGCAAAAAUAUAUCUGAAUUAUUCUUGUUGGAUUAUGUAUUAAAUAUAUAUCUGAAGUAUUCUUGUUGGAUUAUGUAUUACAGGUUACAUUAUUUUUUAAAUAAAUCUGAGUUUCACCUAUGGGUUACCUGUUACGUUGUUUAAUAAUAUUUUUCUUUCCUUCCUAAUACAGAUGCUUGAUGGUCUGGUGAAGCA